GAUGAACGCUGGCGGCGUGCCUAAUACAUGCAAGUCGAGCGAACAGACGAUGAGCUUGCUCCUCUGACGUUAGCGGCGGACGGGUGAGUAACACGUGGAUAACCUACUUAUAUGACUGGGAUAACUUCGGGAAACCGGAGCUAAUACCGGAUAAUAUAUUGAACCGCAUGGUUCAAUAGUGAAAGACGGUUUUGCUGUCACUAAUAGAUGGAUCCGCGCCGCAUUAGCUAGUUGGUAAGGUAACGGCUUACCAAGGCGACGAUGCGUAGCCGAUCUGAGAGGCUGAUCGGCCACACUGGAACUGAGACACGGUCCAGACUCCUACGGGAGGCAGCAGUAGGGAAUCUUCGGCAAUGGGCGAAAGCCUGACGCAGCAACGCCGCGUGAGUGAUGAAGGUCUUCGGAUCGUAAAACUCUGUUAUUAGGGAAGAACAACUGUGUAAGUAACUAUGCACGUCUUGACGGUACCUAAUCAGAAAGCCACGGCUAACUACGUG
rnacentral:rRNA from 1 species